UGUGUCUAUUCUACUUCCUACUGUUAUUAACAUUAUUUAUUCGUGCAGCAGAGAGAUGGUAUCAAUGGAAAUGACUUUUCUCCUUCAAACUACUCCAAUUCUCAUGCUUUAGAUCAGUUGAAAGAAGAGAACUGCUGGUUGAAAGAAAGAUUAAAAAGAAGGGAACAAGAGAUUUUAGGUGAUUUGCUGAAUGAUUUACAAAA